AUUGAACGCUGGCGACAGGCCUAACACAUGCAAGUCGAGCGGAUGAAGGGAGCUUGCUCCUGGAUUCAGCGGCGGACGGGUGAGUAAUGCCUAGGAAUCUGCCUGGUAGUGGGGGAUAACGUCCGGAAACGGGCGCUAAUACCGCAUACGUCCUGAGGGAGAAAGUGGGGGAUCUUCGGACCUCACGCUAUCAGAUGAGCCUAGGUCGGAUUAGCUAGUUGGUGGGGUAAAGGCCUACCAAGGCGACGAUCCGUAACUGGUCUGAGAGGAUGAUCAGUCACACUGGAACUGAGACACGGUCCAGACUCCUACGGGAGGCAGCAGUGGGGAAUAUUGGACAAAGGGCGAAAGCCUGAUCCAGCCAUGCCGCGUGUGUGAAGAAGGUCUUCGGAUUGUAAAGCACUUUAAGUUGGGAGGAAGGGCAGUAAGUUAAUACGUUGCUGUUUUGACGUUACCAACAGAAUAAGCACCGGCUAACUUCGUG
rnacentral:rRNA from 1 species